rnacentral:rRNA from 1 species
UGCUAGUUGUACGAGUUUAGACUCGUAGCAGAUAGCUCAGUAACACGUGGCCAAACUACCCUAUGGAUCCGGACAACCUCGGGAAACUGAGGCUAAUCCGGAAUACGACUCUCAGCCUGGAAGUGGCGAGAGUCAGAAACGCCCCGGCGCCAUAGGAUGUGGCUGCGGCCGAUUAGGUAGACGGUGGGGUAACGGCCCACCGUGCCCAUAAUCGGUACGGGUUGUGAGAGCAAGAGCCCGGAGACGGUAUCUGAGACAAGAUACCGGGCCCUACGGGGCGCAGCAGGCGCGAAACCUUUACACUGCACGAAAGUGCGAUAAGGGGACUCCAAGUGCGAGGGCAUAUAGUCCUCGCUUUUCACUACCGUAAGGAGGUAGUAGAAUAAGUGCUGGGCAAGACCGGUGCCAGCCGCCGCGGUAAUACCGGCAGCACGAGUGAUGACCGCUCUUAUUGGGCCUAAAGCGUCCGUAGCUGGCCACGCAAGUCUAUCGGGAAAUCCGCGCGCUCAACGCGCGGGCGUCCGGUGGAAACUGUGUGGCUUGGGACCGGAAGAUCCAGGGGGUACGUCUGGGGUAGGAGUGAAAUCCCGUAAUCCUGGACGGACCACCGGUGGCGAAGGCGCUCUGGAAAGACGGAUCCGACGGUGAGGGACGAAAGCUCGGGUCACGAACCGGAUUAGAUACCCGGGUAGUCCGAGCUGUAAACGAUGUCUGCUAGGUGUGCCACAGGCUACGAGCCUGUGGUGUGCCGUAGGGAAGCCGUGAAGCAGACCGCCUGGGAAGUACGUCCGCAAGGAUGAAACUUAA